CAAACCGGUUCUUUAACGAAUGUUUGAUUAUUGAAUGAUUAAACAUUAUUUGAUUUGAAUACUUAUUUUGGAAAAGUUUCGCAAAAGUGUAUUAUUUAUUUUGUUUAACGCUUAGAUAAAGAUCUCAGACACAUUACUAAAAAAAUAUUCAAUUACAUGAGAUAUAACUAUAUCAUUUUGUCGUUUAAAGUAGUGCCUUCAAAUUCUUGUCACGGAUAGCUUUUAUGUUCCGACUCCAGAGUCUCUUCAAUUAACUUGUAGAUUUUUUAAAUACAUCCUACGUGAUCGAAGGAAGUAUCAUUGCGAUUUCCUUCAAAUGAAAGUAGUUAGUAUAUGUCUUAAAUGAAAUAUUGUUCUGAGAGGAGAAGAUGUCAAUGGUUCACUCUGGAAAAUAUCACCAUACUCAGAUAUGUGAAAAGCACUUCAAACCAGAAAAUUUCCUAGAUCCAGGGCAAACUCUAGUUUCCAUCGGAGGAAAAGAAUAUCGACAUUUGAAACAAGAUGCAGCCCCAUCCUUUUUCCUUGGUCACAAGCAAGUAAAAUCCAUUUGAGGAAAAUCAUCGUUUGAUCAACAUUUGAAAAUGGACGAUGACAACAGCAUUGAAUAUGACUCCUUAUCAAUACUUGGAUGUAUUUGAGGAGGAGGUAAAGACUGAGAACAUCAACGAGGGUAUUUUAAGUCCAACUCAAAACGAAGAUGACCAAUUAGAUCCGUUGAACACAAAUUAUCAAUAUGUUCGAAAUACCUGCACCAAAAAGACCUCAUUCGAACUAUGUUAUCGAUCCAAAUCAUCAUUAAUAAUCCAUCACAUAGAUGAAUAAAAUACUAUCUAUCCUAGGAUAUUCUUAAGAAAUAUACUAUAAUUGUAUUUUAAAUCAGCGACUGUGGUUUUGUAAAAUAAAAAAGGUUAAAAAAUGGUCCUUUCCAUUUUUAUCAAAUAUUUGAAGAACUGUUGGAAUCCUCAUCGUCACUUUCCUGAUGCACUUCAUUUUCCUAAGUUAUGAAAUUGUAUGAAUAGUGUGGAAAUCAGUAUAUUUUUAAGUAAUUUUCAAAAAUAUUAUAAUAUUCAAACAAGACAUAAAUUAACUAAUUUUAAAUUAGCCAAAGCCAAUGGCUUCUAAAAUAAAUAAUUGCAUUUUUACUUCUAACUUAAUUAUAAGUAAAUAUUGAUUAGAUCAAUCGAAAUGUAUUCAGGAUACAAAAAUAGAUUUAAAAGGAACCUCAGGAUAUCAUUAUGUAUGGAUUAAAUGUUAACGUUAAAAUAAUUGAUUCCAUUGAAAUGAAAUAUAAAUCAAAAUGCUAUAAAAUUUUCAACAAAAUAUUAAAAAAUAGUUAUUUCUUCUAUUGCACAAGAGAUCAGAAGUCUCCGAUAACCAUAGGUUUUAGAUUUAUAUAAAUUGUAUGAAAAUAAAUUAUUUCUUUAUUUA
rnacentral:lncRNA from 1 species